rnacentral:rRNA from 1 species
GACUAAGCGUACACGGUGGAUGCCCUGGCAGUCAGAGGCGAUGAAGGGCGUGCUAAUCUGCGAUAAGCGCCGGUAAGGUGAUAUGAACCGUUAUAACCGGCGAUACCCGAAUGGGGAAACCCAGUGUGACUCGUCACACUAUCAUUAACUGAAUCCAUAGGUUAAUGAGGCGAACCGGGGGAACUGAAACAUCUAAGUACCCCGAGGAAAAGAAAUCAACCGAGAUUCCCCCAGUAGCGGCGAGCGAACGGGGAGGAGCCCAGAGCCUGAAUCAGCAUGUGUGUUAGUGGAAGCGUCUGGAAAGGCGCGCGAUACAGGGUGACAGCCCCGUACACAAAAGCGCAUGUGCUGUGAGCUCGAUGAGUAGGGCGGGACACGUGGUAUCCUGUCUGAAUAUGGGGGGACCAUCCUCCAAGGCUAAAUACUCCUGACUGACCGAUAGUGAACCAGUACCGUGAGGGAAAGGCGAAAAGAACCCCGGCGAGGGGAGUGAAAAAGAACCUGAAACCGUGUACGUACAAGCAGUGGGAGCCAGCCUUUAAGUUGCAGGGUAUAGACCCGAAACCCGGUGAUCUAGCCAUGGGCAGGUUGAAGGUUGGGUAACACUAACUGGAGGACCGAACCGACUAAUGUUGAAAAAUUAGCGGAUGACCUGUGGCUGGGGGUGAAAGGCCAAUCAAACCGGGAGAUAGCUGGUUCUCCCCGAAAGCUAUUUAGGUAGCGCCUCGUGAAUUCAUCUCCGGGGGUAGAGCACUGUUUCGGCUAGGGGGCCAUCCCGGCUUACCAACCCGAUGCAAACUGCGAAUACCGGAGAAUGUUAUCACGGGAGACACACGGCGGGUGCUAACGUCCGUCGUGAAGAGGGAAACAACCCAGACCGCCAGCUAAGGUCCCAAAGUCAUGGUUAAGUGGGAAACGAUGUGGGAAGGCCCAGACAGCCAGGAUGUUGGCUUAGAAGCAGCCAUCAUUUAAAGAAAGCGUAAUAGCUCACUGGUCGAGUCGGCCUGCGCGGAAGAUGUAACGGGGCUAAACCAUGCACCGAAGGUGCGUCUGAGGCAUGCUGGAGGUAUCAGAAGUGCGAAUGCUGACAUAAGUAACGAUAAAGCGGGUGAAAAGCCCGCUCGCCGGAAGACCAAGGGUUCCUGUCCAACGUUAAUCGGGGCAGGGUGAGUCGACCCCUAAGGCGAGGCCGAAAGGCGUAGUCGAUGGGAAACGGGUUAAUAUUCCCGUACUUGGUGUUACUGCGAAGGGGGGACGGAGAAGGCUAUGUUGGCCGGGCGACGGUUGUCCCGGUUUAAGCGUGUAGGUGUGUGUUCCAGGUAAAUCCGGUUCACUUUAACACUGAGGCGUGAACGCGGAGACGUAGGGGAAGUGAUUUACUCAUGGAGCUGAAGUCAGUCGAAGAUACCAGCUGGCUGCAACUGUUUAUUAAAAACACAGCACUGUGCAAACACGAAAGUGGACGUAUACGGUGUGACGCCUGCCCGGUGCCGGAAGGUUAAUUGAUGGGGUCAGCGCAAGCGAAGCUCCUGAUCGAAGCCCCGGUAAACGGCGGCCGUAACUAUAACGGUCCUAAGGUAGCGAAAUUCCUUGUCGGGUAAGUUCCGACCUGCACGAAUGGCGUAAUGAUGGCCAGGCUGUCUCCACCCGAGACUCAGUGAAAUUGAACUCGCUGUGAAGAUGCAGUGUACCCGCGGCAAGACGGAAAGACCCCGUGAACCUUUACUAUAGCUUGACACUGAACAUUGAGCCUUGAUGUGUAGGAUAGGUGGGAGGCUUUGAAGUGUGGACGCCAGUCUGCAUGGAGCCGACCUUGAAAUACCACCCUUUAAUGUUUGAUGUUCUAACGUGGACCCGUUACCCGGGUUGCGGACAGUGUCUGGUGGGUAGUUUGACUGGGGCGGUCUCCUCCUAAAGAGUAACGGAGGAGCACGAAGGUUGGCUAAUCCUGGUCGGACAUCAGGAGGUUAGUGCAAUGGCAUAAGCCAGCUUGACUGCGAGCGUGACGGCGCGAGCAGGUGCGAAAGCAGGUCAUAGUGAUCCGGUGGUUCUGAAUGGAAGGGCCAUCGCUCAACGGAUAAAAGGUACUCCGGGGAUAACAGGCUGAUACCGCCCAAGAGUUCAUAUCGACGGCGGUGUUUGGCACCUCGAUGUCGGCUCAUCACAUCCUGGGGCUGAAGUAGGUCCCAAGGGUAUGGCUGUUCGCCAUUUAAAGUGGUACGCGAGCUGGGUUUAGAACGUCGUGAGACAGUUCGGUCCCUAUCUGCCGUGGGCGCUGGAGAACUGAGGGGGGCUGCUCCUAGUACGAGAGGACCGGAGUGGACGCAUCACUGGUGUUCGGGUUGUCAUGCCAAUGGCACUGCCCGGUAGCUAAAUGCGGAAGAGAUAAGUGCUGAAAGCAUCUAAGCACGAAACUUGCCCCGAGAUGAGUUCUCCCUGAGACUUAGAGUCUCCUGAAGGAACGUUGAAGACGACGACGUUGAUAGGCCGGGUGUGUAAGCGCAGCGAUGCGUUGAGCUAACCGGUAC